GAUGAACGCUGGCGGCGUGCCUAAUACAUGCAAGUCGAACGCUGGAGAUCUAGCUUGCUAGAUCGAAGGAGUGGCGAACGGGUGAGUAAUACAUAAGCAACCUACCCACGAAGACUGGGAUAAUCUCUGGAAACGGGGACUAAUACCGGAUAGGUAAUCGGAAGGCAUCUUCUGGUUAUUAAAGGUCAAAAACACUGGUGGAUGGGCUUAUGUCGCAUUAGUUGGUUGGUGAGGUAACGGCCCACCAAGACGAUGAUGCGUAGCCGGCCUGAGAGGGUGAACGGCCACAUUGGGACUGCGACACGGCCCAGACUCCUACGGGAGGCAGCAGUAGGGAAUUUUCGGCGAUGGGGGCAACCCUGACCGAGCAACGCCGCGUGAGUGAAGACGGCCUUCGGGUUGUAAAGCUAUGUUGUAAGGGAAGAACGGUAGAUAGAGAAUAUCUAAGUGACGAUACCUUACCAGAAAGCCACGGCUAACUACGUG
rnacentral:rRNA from 1 species